rnacentral:rRNA from 1 species
AAGUCGUAACAAGGUUUCCGUAGGUGAACCUGCGGAAGGAUCAUUAAUGAGUUUGCGCGGUCGCUGCUGGUUCUUACAAGUGCACACCGUGUCUUUCUUAUCCACCCCACUGUGCAUCCCGGUAUGCUCGAUUUCGAGCAUAGUCCUUUUACACAAAACCUAAUCUGUAAUAGAACGUGCGCAUAAUGACAAUUGUAAUACAACUAUCAACAACGGAUCUCUUGGCAUCCCACUCGAUGAAGAACGCAGCGAAUUGCGAUAAGUAAUGUGAAUUGCAGAAUUCAGUGAAUCAUCGAAUCUUUGAACGCACCUUGCACCCUCUGGUAUUCCGGAGGGUAUGCCCGGUUGAGUAUUAUGAUCAACUCAAGCCUUUGGUUUUCUAAUUGCAAAGGUCGGAUGCUCGGCGAAGCUGUCUGUAGGGACGGUGGUAGCUGAAGUUCGACUUGGAAUUCCUAAUGGCAUUGGACUUGAGCGUGUGUCGGUCUCUAAUUGAGAUCGGCUCGCUUGAAAUGCAUUAGCUGGCGGACCCGCCUUACGGUUCCACUCGACGUAGUAAGUCUUAUUCGUUGAGGACACUUUCAAUUGAGAAGGUGGCCGUUCGGUGUUGGUAAUAGAAGCUGCUUCUAAUCGUCCUAGGACAAUGAUUUGAACGUUUAAUCUCAACUCGGGUAGGACUACCCGCUGAACUUAA